CUGAGCAAACGUCAAGGCCCAGGCUAGCAUUUUUUUUUCCCUGCCAUAGAAAGGGGGGAAGAGAUGAAUGGAGACAAUUACACUCCCUCGUUUGCUUUGUGAGGUCAUAAUGUUUCAUUAUGUGCCAGGAGUAAGAACGUACACACUGAGACAGAUAAACCGUCCAGCGUGAGCACCGGGGCGCUUUCAGCUCCGUCUCCUGUUAGAAAAAGACUCCGAGGUCUUCGGUUUCCCCAGGCCAGGCUUUGCUGACCACAGCUGUGGGCCGCUGCCCUCUCCCCCAGCUCAUCUUCAUCUAAAGUGGAGACAGCGCCUCGGAGUUCAGCAUUGUCUUCUAAGGUUACCGCCUGUGGCUGCGUUUUGCUACCAUGAAAGAAUUGAAAAGCUGCCUUAAAGACCUUGCACCAAGCCGGUACUACUGACUGGCCUUUUACAGAGAAGGUCUGCCGUACUCCUUAUGUGGCUGGGCACCGCCAUGCUCCAGGGAAAACUUAUUCGCAGGCAACGAAAUUCAUGUCAAGGCUGGUGAGAUGAUGGCAGGUACCCCAAACCCCAACAACCUGAGUUCCACCCCCAGAACCCACAUAGUCAACAAGCUGCCCUCUGACCUCCAAGGCUCGCUGUGCCGU